UGGAUUUUACACGUCACACGACGGUUCGUCUAGACAGACGGUAUUGAUCUUAGGAAUACAGAAUACAUGGCGGAGAGGAGUGGCACGUAGGAGAAAUCGAAGGAAAACAUACUAUUAGCAAAAAAUAUCAGGGUAAUAACUACAUCAUAGUCACUGCCAAAUACCUCAAUAUUUUCCUGUACAUCGAGUUCAACAGCUUCAUCAAUCAUUAACAGCUCUAACGGUAGGGUGUCCACUUUGAGUGCAGGAGGUCGUAAGUUCGAUUCCUGGUGCUACCAUAGAGGCUUUUGACCAGAGUCAAAGAAGACACAAGUGGAAGUGUGGAGGUCAAUGACCUCUUCAAUGCGUAUAAGUUUGAAAUGGAAGAGUGCGGUGCAAAAACAUUGCCUCAAAACGUGUUUUUGUCGACCACAUUAUUAAAGUCUACCCGACUGUCGAGAAGAAAAGAGUCCAGAAAUUACGGAAAUCAACUGUCCCAGCAAACACACAACGUUAAGACAACGUUGUGUUUUAGUUGUAUGUUAGUUGUGUUAUUUUACAACGUCGUGACAACGUUGAGAACUAUUCAAAGUAGUGAUUUGAAAUGUAUAGGAGAAAGUCCCAUGCAAGCAAUGUGUGAAUGUACUGAAAAGACCCUAUAAAAAGACACACAGAGUUUUUAUCUGAAUCUUGUCAAAUCUACAACGUUAGUACAACAUUGUGCAAACGUUGGGCUACAACGCUGUGUACACAACAGUGCUGUGACGUUGUCACAACGUUUUACUCAAGUUUGAAUCACAACGUUGUUAAGGUAACGUUAUAUCAACGUUUUUACAAUGUUGCCAAUUUUCAGUGAAAGAGUAGUUAAUAUGAAAGUAUAUUCAAAACUGACAGUUGCCUAGAAAAGCCUGCCUACUUGUGGAGCUACCGAGGUCGCCUGCUCAGCAGCUGCCUCAUGCGAGAACUGCUUUGCUACUCCCUUAUUAUACUAAUUUUGUUUCGCUCGAUUGUGAAGAAUAAUGUUUCGAGUCCGAAUCCGGGAAAACCUUUGUUGGAAUGGCGUUUAAUGAGGACGUUAACUGUCAUGCUCCAUUAUUAGGGUUCAAACCCACGUCUCCGUGGUAAGCAGCCGACACCUUGUCUCCAACACCACCACUCCCCUUCUUCCGCAAAACAUUGUCAAUUUUUAUAUAUAGCUUAGUUCCAAUUCUUCAUAAAAUUUGAAAAAUCUAGACAGACCGGACAAAAGUACCAAACUUGGCACAGAGGUAGUUUGGACCAAUACAAGACUUUUGGCUGUAAGGGCCAAGGUCACAGCUGUUUUGGAAUUCUAUUUUUAGAACAUUCAAAAUGGCCGCCAUUGAAACAAAUAGCUAUUUUAGUAAAAGUUAGUUUUUACCUUGUUCCUGGUACAUAUUUAUGAGUAAACUAGUUCAUACCUACUCUUAGAGUUAAGUGAUACAUUUGCAGGAGUUGAUGUCAAUUUUCACGUCCGUUUGUCUGUAAAUCCGUCUGUCUGUACGUCAAAAAUGCCGUUAAUAAACAGUAUCCUUGUGGUUAUAACUAUAAGAUGAGCCCCGUAAUGUGCAGCUUGACUUUAAUUAUGUAUUGGUGCAGCUGGAAAAAAAAAUGUUUGACCAACUUUUGGGUGAAGCAUGUUAUUAUUUGUUCCGUCUGUCUGUCCGUCCGUCCGUCGCAAAAUUCAUAUAUCUCAGAACAGCUGUUUUGAGGUUUUUUUUUUAAGAUUUUUGACAUUUUUUGUUCUAUAAAUUGUUAAAUGCCUAUUGCUUUUGUAAUAUUCAAGUGACUGUUCCUGAAAUACACUGUUAAAAAUGCAAAAAAAUGUAUAAAAACGAUUUGUUUUAACUGCUUAAAGGGCCAUAGUGGCUUUGUUUAUUAUGUGACUGCCGCCCGCAUGUGCUGUUAUGAACAUAAAAUAUAGUAAUAACUUGUUAAAUCUUAUUUUUGAUACUUUUUUAUAACAUAUUUUUCAAAGGUAUUUAAAGUAUAAUUCACAAAGUAUAAAGUAUUACUGCGUCCAUUCUUUUUUAUUACCUCCCUUUUAUGUAAAAGUAUAAAUACAUGUGCAGUACUGAAAGAAGUGCUUUUCCAACCAUGUAAUUAUGCAUAUUCUCUUUUUUGAGAGUUGCUGUAUCGGGUUUUAACAUGAUGGAAUUUUAACACAAUGCAGUUCACCUAAACAGACGUGACAAAUUAUCUUAUUGAAAAAUACUUUAGGUAUGUUGAACAACUGUUAAAGAUGGUUGAGGGGAACAUUUUCUUAAUCUCUAUUCAAAAUCAUGUUUGAUACAUGUACCUAUUUCUUAAUGUCUUGUAUAGAGAGCACCAUUUGCUACAUGUACCUAUAUUAUCUAAAACAUCUGUGUUAUCUUAUGGCAAAGAUUUUAAUGGUCAGAUUGCGUUAUAUUUUAUCUAUGUGUCAACGGGGCUGUUGGUUAUUUCAAUGUAACAGAGUUAGAUGUAAGGUCAUUUCGUAGCAUUAUUAACUGCAAGUUUCUUUAUUAAUCAAUGUAAUGAUAAUAAUUGUAUAACAGCUUAUGCAUUUUACAUGUGUGGAAAGAAUUAUGCAUAUAUCAAUCAAUAGUUUAAGUAUAUCUGAAAUAAAUUAACUAAUUGCCCAAACAAUGCCAUUUUAAGCCAGUGUGAUGAAAACAUACUAACUUAACAUUGAAGAUAAAGGGAAAAUAGUGUCUCCAAUUUCUUUCAUUGCUGGUGUAAAUAGUGUUACUGUUUUCAAUCUAUUAAGACAUGUUGUCGUCGUUUAAGAAGGAAUUGAGGUCAUUGAUCUAAGUGGGACAUUUCUAAGUAUUUAAAAGGCAAUACAUGUAUGCUGCAAUCACGGCUUUGACUGUUUCAUUAUGCUUUAAAAUUUUGUUGCAUAGUAUUUCCAUUUAUUCAUAAGCAAUAUGUCAUAAAGGUGCAUAUACUUCUGACGAUAUAAUUUGUAGUGAAAACGCAUAAUCAUUUGGGAGCUUUUAGUUAUAAAUGUCAGCAUUCUAUAUCUAUCUAUAUCCCCUUUUGGCUUUUAAUCACCAUACAGACGAGAAUAUCUAUAUAAAAGAAGAGGCUUUUUAAAAUAAAAAUGAAUCAUUACCGGUAUGUUAAAAAAAUUCAUGUGCAUACAUCUGUGCCAUCUCUUGUCUAUAUGAAUAACUAUAGCUUUUUAGUUUAUACUAAUUUAUUUUUAAGCUCAAUUGUGAUGAAAGCUAGAAGCUUAUCUGAACCACAGUCGAAGCCUUUUCCUGGAAAAUCGAGUACUGGUGUCAUUUGAGAAGGCUUGGUUAUGAUCCAAGUCGGUAUCAAACUCUGGGUUGAGCGGCCGACACCUUAAACUCUAGACAACCGCUUCCCUUACCUAUAGUUUCUUGACGAGUGACUUAUCCCAACAAAAAUGUUGUAGUACCAGAAGGCUCUGGCAUGAUAUGUGACCGGGAUAAACAUGAAAAGUGUCACACCAGAAGACUUCGGUUUGAUAAUUUGAACAGGAAAAAUGUCCUGUGUGGUCAAAGCUUUCAGCUGCAAGUAAUGUUAAAUUUGUUUGAGGUAACUAUUUGUUCAUGCAAAAAACGAAGUAAGGGUGCAUAUAAAUCAUGUAAACACCUCUAAAUGAUACAUUAUAACAAUAAACCAGUAAAUAAAGACAUAAUCAUCAAAUAAACGUGUUAACUUUCCAUUUCAAUAAAGCUUUUCAAGAUACAUGCAAAUAAAUAUGACCAUAUUGAUACUUAACUAUAUCAAAAUAAAACUAUUUGAAUAUAGAAAUUUUAUAUAAAUAUAUGUAAUAUGUAUUCUAUUAUGGAAAUUACACAGCUUAUCACAAAUCUUAUUUAGUCGCCGAAUGACCUAGAGUUGUGUUAAUGCGAUGCUAAAACUACCAAAAACAAAAGAACAAAGCUUAUUAUUUGAUACAUGUAUAUCAUGCAAAAGAACCAUAAAUGAACACGAACCAUGUCUCUCAAUAUAGCUUUAUUUCAAUAGAAGGAUGUCAUCUGAGGCCCUAGCGGGCUGCCUUUAUAUCGUUUGAUCUACAAUGUACAACAGUUAUAUAAAACUGAUGUUGCGUUCCACAUGUGGUCUCAUUAUGAUUACAAAUACAGAGCAGGCACGAUUUUGCGAUAGACAGACAGACAGACGAACGAAACAAAAUGGAAACAUAUCUUCUACAAAAAUUUAGUCGUUACACAUAUUUAUCACCUCUAGAUCAAUCGAGAUCAAGCAGCGCAUCACAGGGCUUAUGGUGCAUGCACGUAAAAGCGUAUGGUUUUAA